ensembl:lncRNA
CACACACACCAGUACCUCCCUACAUUCUGAUCUGACACACACACACCAGUACCUCCCUACAUUCUGAUCUGACACACACACACGUCAUCUUUAUCUUCUAAUCCCACGUACCCAUCCACAGCUUCUCUCCGAUCCACAGUUACUGUACAAACACAUGUAUCUUCUAAUUUGAGAUUGACAGCUCUUCUUUCAAUAGCUGAGCGAUGCCAUGUCCAGUCCUUCUCCAUUGGGAACGGGUAAAUGUGCUCCAACUCCCAUUGUGUUUGUCUCUUCAUGGAUAGAUUCUAAAUACCAGGCAUCCUCUACCGCUGGCGUUCAACUAGUAACUUAACAAGGUGUUGGUUUAUUUCUGAAAGAUACUGCUACUUCUAUAACACAUAUGGGUCAACGUGACUUCAGAAGAGCACACUGGUUCCUCCUCUGAGACAUUCAGCCAGCCAGCCAACUCCACUAAGGAAUGACGGGCUAUUGGAUGGCUGCUUGCCGUUUUUAACCAAUCAUCGGGCACAGUCUAUUUUGCCCUUAAAAAUCACAGGAAGUGAACGUGCCAUCAGCAGGUUCACUUUAGACAGAAACGCGUUCCAUCUCUCAUCCUUUUGACUUGUAUAGCCGGAGUGGAUCAGAUAUUUAUUUGAGUCCGGUGUGAGUCCGUCACCCCAUUUGAAAGGUAUUUGUCCCUAGCUGGUUGCUUGUUCUGACAAUGAACAAUACUGUCUUGAUUGGUUGAGUGUUUUAUUUUUUAUUUUUUUGUAGUCGCUAUAGAAGUGAAGCAACUCUUUACAUUCAGCAGUUUAAGUGUGUGUUUUGACCAUGGACCCCUAUUCACUAAGUAGUGCACUUAGUUUGACCAUGGACCCCUAUUCACUAAGUAGUACACUUAGUUUGACCAUGGACCCCUAUUCACUAAGUAGUACACUUAGUUUGACCAUGGACCCCUAUUCACUAAGUAGUGCACUUAGUUUGACCAUGGACCCCUAUUUACUAAGUAGUACACUUAGUUUGACCAUGGACCCCUAUUUACUAAGUAGUACACUUAGUUUGACCAUGGAACCCUAUUCACUAAGUAGUGCACUUAGUUUGACCAGGGUUCCAUUUGGGACCCCCCAGAUACUGUCAUGUACAAUAUCCAUAGAUGGAUGAGCAGAGUUUACUGGAAUAAUUUUCACCCUCCCGAAACAUGUUCUGUUAUUCUCUGAAAAUGAUAUGUGUGUGUGUGGAUUAUGUCCCUGUCUUUAUAAAUAAUAAGUGUGUAGGAAUGAUGUCCUAUUGUAAAAUGAGAUGACUGGACCUGAACAGUCCAGAUACUACUGCAAAUUACAUCCUGGGUUGAAAUAGAUAGUUAUGUGCUUAUAUAUGGAGAGAAAAAAAGAGAACAGAAAAUGUCAUGUUUAAACUAUACAAGGAUUUAUAUACAUUUCAAAAUGACUUUAAUGAUUUGUUUUUGUUUUUUGGCAUGAUGUAAAAAUUCAUGUCUCGCUGUCACGGUCCUGUUAAAAUGAGUUCUGUGUCUUGUUUGUGAAAUGAGUUGUAAAUGUAAUAAAUACUAUAUGGAAAGAGAA